UGGGGAAUAUUGCACAAUGGGCGCAAGCCUGAUGCAGCCAUGCCGCGUGUGUGAAGAAGGCCUUCGGGUUGUAAGCACUUUCAGCGAGGAGGAAGGGUAGUGUGUUAAUAGCACAUUGCAUUGACGUUACUCGCAGAAGAAGCACCGGCUAACUCCGUGCCAGCAGCCGCGGUAAUACGGAGGGUGCAAGCGUUAAUCGGAGUUACUGGGCGUAAAGCGCACGCAGGCGGUUUGUUAAGUCAGAUGUGAAAUCCCCGCGCUUAACGUG
rnacentral:rRNA from 1 species